UGUGCUUUUCACAUGUUCGUUGAGUUGCUUAAUGACAUAAAAAAAUGAAAUCUGGAGUUAUGCAAUUGCAGCAACAAGGACGGAUGGCCAUCUUCACAGGUUAUGCCCCUUACUGUAGUUUGCAUUCAGUCAUGUGCAGUAAUAAUGGCAUAUUUGUUAGCCUGCUAGCUGUUUCCAGAUUUUUUUAGACAUGAUUGACUGCUUCUACACAAAAGGAGUUUGUCGAAAAUAAGAGCAAUCCCACUGUUGCUACAGAGCCUGAAGAUUCUUUGCCUUUCUUUGAACUGUUUCAGUUUUUUCUUUCAUAUGGCUACAAUUAUUUGAUUGGUCCAUGUAGAUUUAGGCAACAUGAGAUGAGCCGAUGAUAUAUAUUGUAAUGUAUGAUGUCUAUUGCUACAAGUGUUGAUGUCUUGGUGAUGGCAGGUUUUGCAAGUAAUUGAAAUGCUUUUUGAGUAGACGAUAAUUAGAUAAAGUUCUACCUGAUCUUGAGGUAAUGAUUAUUGAUAGCUAAUGACAUGAGGGAGAGGGGGACAAGCCCCUUUAGCUACUGCAAUAUGGUUGUGCAUACAAAUGUGCUACUCAUAUUCCACUGUUAGACGAGCUAGCCGCGAGAAGCAGGUUGUAAGGGGAGCCAGAGAGGUGAGGGAGGUGACCAAAGCGGCAGCGGCCUUGGGGUGCCGAAGAAGAGUGCGCGGGAGGAUGGAAAGGGGCUCGUAUACGACGGCUGGAA